CUGAAACAUUAAUUACUGAAUAUAGGUUUAUCUGCUUUGGGCUUUUACAGACCAACUAAAGACUUUUGGGUUUAUUAGUAAACAUUUUUUGUGCCAUAAAUACUGAAAUAUUUACUAUCAGAAAACAUGUUUCAAGAAAUUUUAAAAACUGUCAAGCCACAACAUAAGAAAAACUGCUAACAUAAGACUUCAUAGUUGUUUACUAUUUGAUUUUCACUAAAAUUAAGUAUUUUUAGGGUUAAACAUUAUAAUUAAAGCUAUUAGAAAACAUAAGGGGAAUAUCUCUGGAUGCAAGGACAGUAGGAUGUGUGAUUGGACAACGGUAGGUAUGAAGAAUAGAGAUGUAUUUUUGUUGAGGAAAAAGAAGGCAAUUUUGUCCUAAAUGCAGAGUGGUUAUUUCAGAAUGGAAAAAAGGAAUAAACAUAGGAAACAACAGUAGAAAGUUUGUGGGAAAAAGAGUCUUGGGAGCUAAGUUUUAUGCGUGGUUAAGCUAUCCACGAUCCAAAUGAAUUUAUUUAAGUAAAAAAGAGUUUUAGUCAAAACUGCUUUUUCUUAAAAGGAAAAGUUCUUUUGCAUAUUGGUCUACUUCUGGUAAGCAGCUGUGAAAGGGUCUUCAAAAUAAAUUCCUGUGUUUCUCAUUAUCUUUAUUAGGUGUUUGAUUACUUGAGUAAUUCUGAGUCUUCUCUACUAAAACAGAUAUUUUAAACAAUUACACGACUUUCUUUUUUUAAUUAUUUAUUUUAAUUGGAGGCUAAUUACUUUACAACAUUGUAGUGGUUUUUGCCACACACUGACAUGAAUCAGCCAUGGGUGUACAUGUGUCCCCCAUCCCACCCCUCUGGGUCAUCCCAGGGCACCAGCCCUGAGCACCCUGUCUCAUGCAUCGAACCUGGACUGACGAUCUGUUUCACAUAUGAUGAUAUACAUGUUUCAAUGCUAUGCUCUCAAAUCAUCCCACACUCGCCUUCUCCCACAGAGUCCAAAAGUCUGUUCUUUACAUCUGUGUCUCUCUUGCUGUCUCGCAUAUAGGGUUAUCAUUACCAUCUUUCUAAUAAUAACGCAACUUUCUAUAUUUACCUGCAAAGUCUUUAUCCCCUUGUUUGAAUGGAUAACUAUUACUUCACAGUGAACUAUGAUCUUAUUUGACCAAGUAUUUUUAAACUUUUUGGUGUUUUUGACAAACUUCUCCCAAAUCAAAUUCUAAAUGUAAUCUUUUUGACCUCAAACUAACUUUGAGCUUUUCCAGAGAGCCCCUGGAACAUUUCAAAAGAUUUGUUUUCUCUCCUUAGAAAAAGAGAGAUGUUAAAUUAACUAGGCUUAUUUGACACAUUAAAUUGCAUAGGAAGCCCAGUCACAUAAAAGGUAAUACUAAGCUUCCUUUGGUUGUAUUUCUAUAGAUAUAUAAGUAUUCUUAAAAUGCAUGUCCUGGGAUAAUGUAAUCAGCCAUACUUCCAGUUACCAUCUUAAAAUGUUUAUCACAGAAUGACUAUUUCCUUAUCAAAUGAACUCUUAUCAGAUCUUUAACUAAAGUCAUUUGUAAGUCUGUCAUUUACAGAGAGUUAUUGUUUUACUCAGAUGCUUUUGCAAAAGUAUUUCUUCAAAAGUGCCUCAUCUUUAAAGAAAUUCAUGGAAAGGACUCUGACAAGUACAGGUUAGUGAUAACUUUGGUUCAUACAACUCAACUGGGUAAACACUUCCAGAACUAAUGAAAAACUGGGUUCAAGCAGAACAAGAAUUAAUAACAUGAGACUGAAUGAACUGAGGAGGAUGAUUAGAAUUUCUUAUUUGAAACAUUGCUGGUACCUUAAUAUUUUGUUUCUCCAGAUUUGAAAUUUGACCUACAACGAGGUAAAGUAUACCAUUGUAAACAGAGAUGAAACACUUUCCCCGAUUCUUCCAGGACCCAGAAACUCUUGAGUAUUCUUUUUAAGGCAAAAUAGCUAUUUUACAUAAGUUUAGUGAGAAUCUGUCAUUGUAACAGGGCACAAUUGAAUACAUCAGUAUUAAUACCAAGGCAUUGACUGUAAUAGUAUAUAUGACAGAGAUGUGUAUAGACUCAGAUAUGACCAGACAGCUGAAAAUAACUAAGAUUCACUUUUGGGAGUCAAUAAAGUCCUUUGGAAAAAUUGGACUGGUACCAAGAUUCCUGGGAACUAAACAGGCGAGUAAAAAAGGUAAUUUCCUGGUAGGUCCAGGGAACUCCAGGAUAUAUUUUUAGACCUCAGUAAGAGAGGAACUCACCCAAAGUUAUAGGUAUUGCAGGUAAAAUUGGAUUGUGAGAUUUUGGCUAUCUGCCUUCAGAGGCUUGGAGAAAGCAAUGGCAACCCACUCCAGUACUCUUGCCUGGAAAAUCCGAAGGACGGAGGAACCUGGUAGGCUGCGGUCCAUGGGGUCAUGAACAGUUGGACAUGACUGAGUGACUUCACUUUCACUUUUUACUUUCACGCGUUGGAGAAGGAAAUGGCAACCCACUCCAGUGUUCUCGCCUGGAGAAUCCCAGGGACGGCGGAGCCUGGUGGGCUGCCGUCUAUGGGGUCGCACAGAGUCGGACACGACUGAAGCGACUUAGCGGCAGCAGCUUCAGAGGCUUAAGAGUUCAACCUGAGUUUCCUUUAUAGGAAACAGUUUUUAAAAGAAUAUAAAUGGCCCAGCACUAUUCUUGCUGCACUUACGUAAUUAAUCAGGCCAAGUUUAAUAAAAACAAAUUGGGUUUACUGUUAAUGCUCUUUGGUUAAGAGAACAGUGAUUAUAGAGAAGAAAACUGUAUUUCUGCAGAUAUCAGAGUCUAAUCCUGGUAAUUGCUUUGGAGGCUUUGUUACAUCCCUGUAACCUCGAGUGGAUCUUGAAUACUUCUAGUUCCCUCAAUUGACUGGUUAUGACAUUCCAAAGUACUGUUUCCAAUUUCCUCCCACCCUUCUGACUUGGAAUCCCAAAGAACAAAGACUGCCCUUGCGUCUCCUGGCAAGGGACUCUCCCAGAUCUUCCUCACUAACCAGAUGGGAGCCAAACUGCGGGGACCUGAACCUUGGGUGUACACCUCACCUGAUACUGGGUCCUGUCCACCCACUCAAGACCUCAGAAUCGAAUCGACUGGGAAGAGAAGUAGCCAGUGUUGAGGAUUCUACUUCACUAGUCAAGACAACCUGUGGCACCUGGAUUAACAUGUCUGCGGAAACUGAAACUCAGUUACAGAAAAACACUGAACAACCCACUUGGCUUGAAAAGGCAUCUUGUAAGACGGGACCCCAGAUGGCACAGAAGGAGGGUUCCUCCAACUUGCGCUCUUGCAGAUGAUGCGGCCAGACAGCUGAGAGGAGUGAGGACACGGCACGUGGAGACAGAAAGCCGCAGCUCCGGCCUCACUGCGCAGACAUCUACCAGCUGUGGGAAUGUGGGCACACACACGAACCUCCCUGGGCUUCGGUUCCCUAAUGUGGGAAAGCCGUAACUGUCACCACACUGCUGACUUACAGGAUUGCUGUGAAAAGCAAACAGCGGCUGGGGAAGCGGCCUGUGCACUCUAAAACGCUUUCUGAAUGACAGUUAUUGGAACCUGAAACCAAAACGAACGUGUGUAACAAAACAGAAACAGACUCAC